UCCUGCUCCACACCAAUCUUCAACCUUCAAGAAGAAACAAUGGCAAACAACCAUGGUUGCAUCAAUAACAAUUCUAUAGACGAUGCUAACUAUUCUUCUCCUGUGCCUGUUAUUGGCUUAUAUAUAGCUGGAGCUUCUGUGGCAUGCCUGGUAAUGAUGCUUUUGGAUAUAGGAUUUGGAAUUUAUGCAAAGAAGAGAUGGCUUCCAUGUAAGGUAUUUAAACUCGACUCUGUUACACUAACUUUGCUUGGUGUAGUAGCUAAACUCCCUGUUGAUUUGACGACUUCCAUGCCUAAUCGCCAUGAUCAACUAUCUAAGCUUACUGGAACUGUCAUAAUAUGCAUUUCUAUGGGCUUUCUUGUGCCAUCUUUAGGGGCUAGUAAAGAGUCUGAAUGUCAGACAAAUAUGAUCGCCUUGAGCAUAUUUGUGAUAACUGUAGCUGCCAACAUCUGUAUACAGUUACGCACUCGUGUGAUCGUUCUUUUCUUCAAAGAACAUAUCAUUAUCUUGUGUUUGAUGUUACUUUUGCUCAUGUUGUUGUGGCACAUUUCUUUGAACAUCAGAAGUUCCAAGAGACUUGUCGCUGAUCAUUAUAAAGAUCUCCUUGGAAAAGGGAACAAUAAUAGCAUGUUUGGGAGAUUGAAGUUGUGUUACUUGUAUUCUUAUUGCUCAAACCCCCAAUUUAGGAUGUGCAAGGAUCCAAUGUAUGCAUCUAUUAGCAUAGUAUGCCUAUUGUGUUCGGUCACCUUAAUGCAAGCUACAUUAAGAUCUGUCAUCUUGAAGAAGGUGGACUUCUGUUCAGGGGCAGGGGAUUCUGAUUAUGGCUGGUCAAUGCCAUAUGUUACUAUCACACAAAAUCUCACUGUCAUAGUAGGAACUAUUGCAAUUUUGUUUAGAUGUUUGGCCUUGUUUAGCCGCAUGGAAUUCCAAAAUCUAAUUGUAUCUUUCUGUGGUGGUGAUCCUGCUGCAAAGAGGAAUCAAACCUUAGGAUGGUGGAAUAGAUGGCAAAACAUCUUUGUAUCUCUCUACAUGAGGAUUGCCUCAGCAACUCAAUUGUUGAUUGUGUCCCCAUCAUGGUUACUGCGCAAAUUAUUUUGUUUAUACAAACACGAUAGUUUAGAAUUUUUCGACGAUCUUCCUCACCAAUGUCUAAUUACGGCAAGCAAGUAUAUUGUGCGGAAGAGUAUCGAUGACAUAAUCAAGUUUAGAGAUCAUUGCAAUAGAAAGUCACUAACAAAUCUGUUGCAAAUCCUUCCACGGACUUCUGCUCAACCAAGGGGCUAUCUAGAGUAUCUUCAAAGAGAAGGCCAUGGCAUGAAAGUAUGUUCUCUUUCAGUGGCACUACUGGUAAAAGUUGCUCGAGUUUCUGUACCUGAACAGCAUCUUGGAUCAUCUCUUCUAUGUGCAUACAAGGAAGCCUACGAAAUCAUCCAUUUCAUUGACAAAACAUUACAAACCAAAAAAUCAGAGGAUAAUUAUAAAUUGUCAUAUGCAAAAGCUGUGUGGACAACUGGAGAUUUUAGUUGUCUGCUUUCUGAUGCUGUAACCCGUAUUCAACCAGAUUUGGAUCGGGCGAUUGCCAUCAUUAAAGAAUUGAAAAGAAAAUUGGGAUCAGAUCAAGUGUGCUCUGAACUUAAGAUCAUGGUGGACUUCAUCAAUCUGCAAAGCUACUCGUCAAUUGAAGAAUUAUGUAACUCUAUGAAGCAAAUGUUUUUGGACAUGUUACGUGCAUUAUUCAUUCAACUGCCAAUUGCUAUACAUAAAAGUUUGAGUGAGUGUCAGGCGGAAGAAUUUGAAGAGAAUGUACAACUUGCUAUGAAGUUCCUAUUUCUAGUUCAACGUACAGAUCCUUGGGAAGAUUAUAUACAUUGGUUGUUGCCUCCAGGAACUGAUAUCGAAAGCUUUAUAACGGAUGCGACUCCAGUGCCCACAGCAGGUUCACUGACAAGACUGAGGGAACUUUGUCUCACUGGUGGUGAGUUGGAGCUCAUACAAGUUGUGAACGGGGUUUAAUGGGAAAACAAAGCCACCAGUGCUACUGAAUUUCUUUUGCAUUUUCUUUUAGAAGGUAUUAUUGGUUUAAAAUGUUGUUUGGGUCCUUUCCUUGGAUUUGACCCGUGAAGGAAUUUGGGAAUUAAAAUGUCAUUAAGCAUUUGGAGCUCUAGUUCUCUUUUUUAGUCUUUUACCAACAAAACAAAACUGUGAACUUUAAUUUGCAUGCUGCAUUUUUUCUGGCGUUCUUGGAAGUCUAUUGCCAAUUUCUUUUAUUGUUUGAUGAAGUCAUUCAGUAAAUACAUAUCUUCUAAGUUCUAACACACAAGAUUUUUCAACACUUUGGUGCUUUUAACCACCAGAAAGGUGCUUUCUUAGGUAGCACUUGUUGGACUCAAACUGGUUCAGCUGGACUAUGUUGAUCAUGGGAAGCAUUAUUAGGCUCCAAUGCUCCAUCACUACAAGUGACAAUGCCUAGGUUGCUAACAGGACUUAACAUUCUGAUAAUAAACGUGCCUUCUUUACACAUGAUUAUACAAUACUGUCCAGAGCACUCUGAUGAUGCUUAAUCUCUCCCACAAAAUUCUGACAAUACCAUGGUGUCACUAGUUUACCUUGCAGCAUUUGAAUAGCUUGUACUGAGUCUGCAGCAACCAAUACAUUCCUCUGCUGAGUGCUGAAUCAGGCCGCAGUUCUGCAUGUUGCCUCGCGGUCCACAGCUUCCAAGUUUGUGUGUCAGUUGACCCCAUACUGUAGAUGGACCUAAGAUUUACAGACUGGAUCUUAAUAUAAGUCCGGACCAUGUAUUUGAUUCUAAAUCAAACGGUACAUUUUUUAUUUUUUUUAAUAAAAUGUGUAUUUUUUGAUUUUUUUUUCUGGCUACAUAAAAAUAAGCAAGUACGUAAUGUGUAUUUUUUUUGGUAUGUGGGUGAAUAACUCCAAGCUGAAGCGACAUGUCAUGACAGAAUUUCUCAAAGUGGACCCA
rnacentral:lncRNA from 1 species